AACGCGAAGAACCUUACCUGGGCUCGAAAUGCUAUGGACAGUCUGUGAAAGCAGAUCUUCCCGCAAGGGACCGUAGUAUAGGUGCUGCAUGGCUGUCGUCAGCUCGUGUCGUGAGAUGUUGGGUUAAGUCCCGCAACGAGCGCAACCCUUGUCCUGUGUUGCCACUCCGUAAGGAAGCACUCUCAGGAGACCGCCAGCGAUAAGUUGGAGGAAGGUGGGGAUGAUGUCAAGUCAUCAUGGCCUUUAUGUCCAGGGCUACACACGUGCUACAAUGGACGGUACAAAGCGCUGCAAACCCGCGAGGGGGAGCCAAUCGCAAAAAACCGUUCUCAGUUCGGAUCGCAGGCUGCAACUCGCCUGCGUGAAGCUGGAAUCGCUAGUAAUGGUGUAUCAGAACGAUACCGUGAAUACGUUCCCGGGCCUUGUA
rnacentral:rRNA from 1 species